UUUGGGGUUGAAAUGGUGAUGUAUGUUUCGUUAGGGUUAAAAAUCGCGUUGUUUUGUCAGAGAUUGUUUUUGAUGGAAAUGAAAAUAUGCAACUAAAGAGACAAGUUAGCCAGCUCUGUGUAAAGUGAUUAAAUGAUAUCACCAUGAUUUUUUUUUCUAAAAACCGUUGUGAUAUAUGAUGAAAUUUAAAAAAAACCGUAAUGUCUUAAGCAAAUAUUUUUAAAAAAAAAAAUAUAAAAUAUAUCACAAUAAUGUUUUUGAAA
rnacentral:lncRNA from 1 species